rnacentral:rRNA from 1 species
UACGUAGGUGGCAAGCGUUGUCCGGAAUUAUUGGGCGUAAAGCGCGCGCAGGCGGUCCUUUAAGUCUGAUGUGAAAGCCCACGGCUCAACCGUGGAAGGUCAUUGGAAACUGGGGGACUUGAGUGCAGAAGAGGAAAGCGGAAUUCCAAGUGUAGCGGUGAAAUGCGUAGAGAUUUGGAGGAACACCAGUGGCGAAGGCGGCUUUCUGGUCUGUAACUGACGCUGAG